rnacentral:rRNA from 1 species
GACGAACGCUGGCGGCGUGCUUAACACAUGCAAGUCGAACGGAAAGGCCCUGCUUUUGUGGGGUGCUCGAGUGGCGAACGGAUGAGUAACACGAGAGUAACCUGCCCUUGACUUUGGGAUAACUUCAGGAAACUGGGGCUAAUACCGGAUAGGAGCUCCUGCUGCAUGGUGUGGGUUGGAAAGUUUCGGCGGUUGGGGAUGGACGCGCGGCUUAUCAGCUUGUUGGUGGGGUAGUGGCUUACCAAGGCUUUGACGGGUAGCCGGCCUGAGAGGGUGACCGGCCACAUUGGGACUGAGAUACGGCCCAGACUCCUACGGGAGGCAGCAGUGGGGAAUAUUGCACAAUGGGCGGAAGCCUGAUGCAGCAACGCCGCGUGCGGGAUGACGGCCUUCGGGUUGUAAACCGCUUUCGCCUGUGACGAAGCGUGAGUGACGGUAAUGGGUAAAGAAGCACCGGCUAACUACGUG